AUUGAACGCUGGCGGCAUGCUUUACACAUGCAAGUCGAACGGUAACAGGGAGCUUGCUCCGCUGACGAGUGGCGAACGGGUGAGUAAUGCAUCGGAACGUACCGUGUAAUGGGGGAUAACGUAGCGAAAGUUACGCUAAUACCGCAUACGCCCUGAGGGGGGAAAGCGGGGGAUCGUAAGACCUCGCGUUAUACGAGCGGCCGAUGUCGGAUUAGCUAGUUGGUGGGGUAAAGGCCUACCAAGGCGACGAUCCGUAGCGGGUCUGAGAGGAUGAUCCGCCACACUGGGACUGAGACACGGCCCAGACUCCUACGGGAGGCAGCAGUGGGGAAUUUUGGGACAAUGGGGGGCAACCCUGAUCCAGCCAUGCCGCGUGAGUGAAGAAGGCC
rnacentral:rRNA from 1 species